UGGUAAAAUACAAAAAUUUCCUUUUUUCUAUUCUUUCCGGGUUGCUAACCCCGAAAGAAUAUCGGGGUAUCCUUUCUUACAGUGAACUUUUAAACGUUACUUUAUGAUCCGAACGUCACGUGCAAAUGGACGUUGGAACAGAGAGGAAUUAUGAAAGGGAUGAUGAUGAAAUGAAAAUGACGGAUGGAAAGUGAACAACUUUAUUUCUUUAUUUGGGGGAAGACAAUUUGACGAAGUAGAGAGAACUGGGGAACUUGGUUACUUUGAUACUUAAAUACACUGGUUACUAUUACGGGGGAGGUAGACGAGAUAUCCUCGUCUACGACUUUACAAAAUUACACUGAGCAAAAGGGGCAAGGGUUACUUCACACGUAAACAAAAAUAAGAAGGCCCUUGCCACCUCCAAUCCUGCCCGUGAGGUCAGCACUGUAAGUGACAGCGGGCCCUACUGUCCACAGGUACUAAACAAAAAAACAAACCUUUACUAAGAUUUUACUUUUUACACUACAUUUUUUAACUUCACGACACCGAUUUGGACUCUGACGACCCAAUAUUUUCGUUUUUUACGUAAACGUCCUGCUCUUUGGCCGUAGCCAUAACACAGAGCUUAGUCACUGGACGAAUACCGGGGUUUUUGUGAUUGCUGAUCUGGACUUUUACCACUCGAACAACGUUAUCCGAUUAACAGGGUAGAACUUCGAUCACUUUCUUAAUGGCCACUGUCCACGUAAGGUAUUCGGUUCGAUGACUAGUACCAGAUCUCCGACGGUGACGUUUGGCCGUUUUUCGGUCCAUUCUCUUCUUUUUGUCAGGUGUGGUACGUAUUCACGUAGCCAUCUGUUCCAAAAAUGCUGGAGGAUGGCUUGGCUUUGAAAAAACUGCUUAGCUGUGACGUCUAAGUUUUCGGCAUGUUUCAGUUUUAACGGAACAUGCGGACGGGCUCCUCCAUGUAGAAAGUGAUUCGGUGUCUACGGGUCGGGGUCUUCUGGAUCCAUACUGAGGUGCGUUAGUGGCCAGGCGUUUAAGAAGGCUGCUACUUCUGCGAUUACCGUUCUGAGGACUCGAUCGGCAACCAGACGAUUUCCCACGCUGACUUUCACAGCCCGUUUGCACGAUUGCACUAUUCUUUCCCAAACUCACCAAAAUGGGGUCCGUGAGGGGGAGAGAAAUGCCACUCAAUUUGUUGACACGCCAAUUUCGAUUGCAGUUCUUGGUGCUGUUGUAACAAUUCCAUUAGAGCCUGACGAAGUUCUUGUUCUCCAGCUACGAAAUUUGUUCCAUUAUCACUGUAGACGACGUUCGGCUUUCCUCGUAAACUCACAAACCGGGUAAAGCAGAGAAGGAAUUCGUCGAGACUCAGGCCCUCGGAGACUUCUAAGUGAACGGCUCUCGUUGUAAGGCACGUAAACAAGAAACCCAAACGUUUUUCGUGUCUACACCCUCUUCCACCGACUCGUACUGUUAGAGGGGCGAAGUAAUCGACUACCGAAAUGUGAAAGGUGGAAGAUAUGGAGUGAGCCGAUGUACUGGUAAUGAUGCCAUGAGUGGCGGAAUAGGCAAUGAUGACCUACGCUUGCAAGGCCAGCAAGUGUUGACAACUGAUUUGAUGACUUUGCGUCCAUAGAUUAUCCAAUAUCGUGUCCGUAACUCCAUCAGUAAUCUUUCCGAUUUCAUGUGAAGAUUCCGCGUGUAAUGCUCCCAUACAAUCCAUUGCGUCACGAGUUGAUCAGCUGGAAGCAGGAUGGGAUGCUUUUUCGGAAUAAUCGACUGGAGCCUGUAGUAUACGUCCGCCUACACGUAGCUGUCCUACUUCAUCCAGAAAAGGACUGAAAGCGCGUAGGCUUGACUUCAGAGGCAACUCCAGGUUCUUCUUUAAGGCGUAGAUUUCUUCGGCGAAUGCCAAUUCUUGAGCGCGUUUAUGAAGAGUGUUACAGCCGCCGACAUUUCUUCGGUCGUAAACUCUCCCACGGUGGGCUUGCAAGUGCCCAUCUUCGCUCUGGCAUUUGUCGCAAACCUCCUGCACCAAGCGAUAACUCUCUGGAUCUUCAGAAGACUGGAAUAUUUUCUCACGCAGUCAUCUAUGAAGUAAUUUUCGUUCUCGGUUUUGACGGCGAAGACUCAAAUCACGUUAACGUCACUCUCUUCCAGCUCUGCGAUCUCUUCCUAAGUAUCCCACUCCGACGGAUUGAGUUUCAGGAACGAUGGACCUUCGUGGAAUUUCACCAACUCGUCGACGUUCUUCGGGUCGAUGCCACGAUUACACAAAUUCCGCGGGAUUAUUAACUCCAGAAACGUGACGCCAUUGUCUUGGAUUUGUGUUUCGGAGGAUCUUGCCAAUAAGAUUGUUCACGUAUGUUUCAGAUCGGCAUGUGCGGGAUUGGAUCCAGCGUAAUACAGUUUGAGAAUCUGUGUGGAAGGUGACUUUUUGAAGGUCAAUCUCGAGCUCCCGACCGAUUACUAGAGCGAUGGUUAAGCCUUCUACAUCAGCCUGCAACUCCAAUCUUGGGAUCGUGAGGCCUUUUACGGUGUUACGUGGGUUUUAGCCACGACGAAGGAUACGUUGAUCGACUGGUCCUCGAAGACGAAGCGGAAAUACGCCACAGCUACAAAUCCUUUUGUGCUUGCAUCCGUGAAUACAUGCAGGUGCUGCUGCGUCCAACGUCCACUUUGAUGUGGAAAACAUCUUGGCACCGUCAGCAACUCCAGGUUCUUCAGAUGCUCGUACCAGUAGUGGAAACGUUGGCCUAAUUCUUCGUGGAUAGGGUCGUACCAGCCGAUCCUUUUCUCGUACGUCCAUAUGUAUUGCAGAAGAGACUUCAUCAAGCAAACAACAGGAACGACGAGUCCAACGGGUCGUAGAUACUGAAUAUAAUACUAUAGAAAUUUCUUUUGGUGAAAACGCCAUGACUGGGCAGAUUUCGUAUCUAUAACGUUAGCAUAUCCAUUUCCCCGUUCCACAUUGCUCCAAGUGUUCGCUCAAUGGGCAACAUUUCCAAAUCAAGGUCCAGUGUUGGUGAGGCUAGACCAAACUCAUGUAGAGCCGAUAUCACCUUCCUUGAUGAGGACGUCCACUUUGUUAGGUUGAAACCGCGAAGUUGUUAGAGCUUCUUCAUUUUGCGGGCCCGUUUUACUGUCCCGUCUUCGGAAAGGAAGGAGUCGAGGUAGUUGUCAACGUAGAAGUUUCUUCAAACGCUAUCCGCUGCCUCUGGAAACUGGUCACGAUGAUCUUCGGCAGCCCGGUUGAGGGCGAAGAUACAGGUCGUUGGGGAAAAUAUUGAUCCAAAGACGUGGACUGUCAUUUGGUACGUUAACGGUGCUUGAUUACUGCCAGGCGUCCGGUAGACAAAACGGUAGGCCGCCUGAUCUUCUACUGGGACCUUCACCGGGUGAAACAUCUUCUCGUCCGCGCCGACCGGUACUAGGUUCCUUCGGAAGCGUAGUAGGACACAGAGCAGGCUAACGAGAAGAUUGGAUCCUCGUAACAGGUUCUGGUUGAUGGAUGUUCCUCCAUACUCGGCGGCUCCGUCGAAUACAACUCGAACUUUGGUCGUAGAGCUGGAUGGGCUUACGACCCCGUGGUGUGAUAAAAACCACAUUUUACUUGACUCCUUCCGCAACUCUUCGGUUGUGAGAAGUCUGGCGUGAUCCAGGCCGAUGUACUCCUUAACAACUGCAUCAUAUUUCUGGGCGAAGUCUCCAUCUCUUUGAAAUCGCCUCUCCAGAGAAUAAAGUCUCUUCAAUGCAGUUGAUUGAUUGUCCGAAAGGUUUACGUUGUCGGUUUUCCACAUUAGGCGGACUUGAUACCGACUACUAACAUUUUUUACUGUUGACUCAAGGAUACGUUUUCCACGUAGGUCGUCUUCGCAGAGAACAUGCUGUUCCAUGUCUACGUCUUUCGCCUCCAGCUGCCAGAAUUUCUUGACUAGCUCGUUGAGGUCUUCGGGACGUUCCUCUGAUACUAUAUGGGCAAUGAACGAACGUCCAUCUUUUGAUGGGCCCGUUUGACCACCCAGGCACCAACCAAACGGUGUUUUGAAAGCGAUAGGCCCAAUUUUCUAGCUUGCGGUUUGGCGGAAUCUAUGUGGUACGUCGAGUCCAAUCAAUACACCAAUGUCUUCGGGUUGUACGUUUUUUUGGGAAAUCAAGACCACGUAGGUGUGUCCAGGAUUCCAUUUGACGAGGGUUGAUUGGAGGAUUCGGUGUCACUUUCAAAUUGUCAACGGUGUAUGCGUGUUUUACUUCAAACUGGCUUGUUCCGUCGACCGAAGAGAGGGAGAAGUUCACAACCGAUGCUUGCACGUUCGACGUGGCUCCAUCAUAGGAGACAACGUUGAUGCGUUUAGGCGGUCCAACUAAACCAACUUCUUUACUACAUCGCUCCUAAUCAGCGUGGGGUCGCUUCCGUUAUCCAGGAAUUUAAAAGUGUCUUCCCAAUUUUCAUGGACGCUAAUACGAACGGGCACGAUCUUGAAACGUACACGUCGCUUUACCGUUUCCCUUUACUUAGUGUCCCAAGGAAUGCAGUCGAUGUAGACGCUGAUCGAGGUGGUGCAUCCGUUUGUUUCCUCAGUGGGAUGAAUUCGGAUCCAUGAAGCAGGGGAUUGUGUCUUGAUCCAGUGCAUCUACCAAUAGUACAUUUGAUGUCUCUGGAACACUCCCUGAGUUCGUGCUUGCCGGUGAGGCAUAGUAGACACCUUCCGGACUUAAAUACGACUUCAACCCGUUUCGUGGGCGUGAAAGACAUAAAUACGUUACAGCUGGCCUAGUUGUGAGCACUGCCGUUACAUGCGAGGCACCUCCACUGGUCAGUCUUUUCGGCUUAUUUCUCCUCUGUCUUCUGUCGUCUUCCCAUGUGAGCGGCUAACGAAGGUGAUGAUGCCGUUACUUUAUAGCCUUCCUCUGUCGAAACGUGUCCAAUGGUUGACGUGUGAGAAGCGUUCUGUCUCCUGCCAGGCUUGCACCAUCCUGGCUUUUCAAUGGUCGAAUAUGCCGCAGACCGUCGAGAUAGGUCUGGUCCAUAACUUCAAGGCGGCCGUAGACUGCGUCGAGACGAUCCCACACGACGAAGUACAUGGUCACAUCAGCAAGGCACUCGCCAAUCUCGUUUCGUACUUCUUUAGACAGCAGCUCUUCAAACAUGAACAGAAGGACAGGAGAACCGUUUUAUUCGUUCUCGUAUAAAGCUCAAAAUUUAGCCUUAAACUGAGCGUAAUUCUAUGGAUUUCCAUCGAACGGCUGAAUCGUGAAGCUCGGGGUGAACGACUACAGCAACUACUAUGAGAAGGAUUUGCGCUGCCAGUAGCAGGCUGGUGCUCAGGGGACGUGUCCGAAUACGUGUCGUCCUCAAUGGAAGGGCCGCAGGCUGGAUGCAUGAUAGGCAAUGGUCUUAAAGGCUGCCCUCGUAAAGAGGUGUCGGCGUCUAGCAGAGUUCUGCGAUGAAGUACCGUUGCUUCGAGUGACUUCAAGGUAGACCGGGCGGAAACUUCUUGUCUAGCUGAUAGAGGUUGUGGUCGACUAGGUAUGCGUACUCCUUGGUCGAUGAAAUGCUCCUGAAUCGUUCUCAGGUGAACCUUUACUGAAAUUACGAAAGCAACGCACGUGUUCGUUAAAUCUCAGGUUUCAGCGCAAUUUGUUCCGAACGUCACGUGCAAAUGGACGUUGGAGCAGAGAUGAACUAUGAAAGGGAUAAUGAUGGAAAAAAAAUGACGGAUAGGAACGGAACAACUUUAUUUCUUAUUUGGGGAAAGACAAUUUGACCACCGGUGAGGGGGCUAAGUAGAGAGAACUUUGAUUCUUAAACUAUACUGGUUACUAUUUACGGGGGAGUUAGACGAGAUGUCCUUGUCUAUCACUUUACAAAAUUACACUGAGAAAAAGGGGCAAGGGUUACUUUACACGUAAACAAAAAUAAGAAGGCCCUUGCCACCUACAAUCCUGCCCGUAAGGGCAGCACUGUAAAUGACACUUAAUGAUCUUACUUAAUGCAGGUAAGUAUGAUAAAAUCAUACUAAUAUAUCAUUAAUUACUCAAGUAUGCAAUUUAUUCUAAACUUGUACAAUUAAUUAUCUCAGAUUUUUGGCUGGGAAAAUAAUAAAAUUGGUAAGAUGAAAAUUUUUUUUAGGGUAAAACAAAUUUUUAGUUAAAAAUUUGGUUAGUGCCUAAAAAAACAUGACAAAAGUGUUCGAAAAGCGGCAUAAUUUUUUUCAAUUGAAAUCGAAUAAUAAACUUGUGUUUUAGUUUUCAUUACCUCUAAAUACAUAACCAACUUCGUAAGUUUCCACCGCGUAUGUAUUGAAAAAUGCAAUAAAACAGAAAACUUUCCCUAUACAGUGGAAGAUUAUGGAAAACCGGGGCUUGAUGGUCCGCUUUUUUUCAGCGCUGUUAUUAAACUAACUGAUAUUUUUUAAAGCUCUUUUUAUAUUUAUGUAGAACGCUGUUUCUACUAAAAAAUUUCCGAAGAAACUUAAUCAUUUCAGAGUGUAUUUCAAUCAGCAUGGUUCAUUUGCAUCAAGACAUUGGUUGGCCAACUUGAGCAGAUGGAGGGUUUUUCUGGCGGCAACACUGUUAAAAAGGUUACCACUUAUUUGGUGUUGUAAACCCAGAAAAAUGCAAAUUUUUUGGACAAAAAACCCCGGAAUUUCUGGGCUAAAAAGGGAUAACAUAUUGUCGAGGGUGAAAAGGGAGAUUGGUUAUCUCUUCGCAGAGAUGAGUCAUCCGCUCCUUGGACAACGCUGCGAUCGUUGUGAAGAAAUUAUCGGGAGAAGUCCGCUCUGAGAAAGAUACGCAGAUACG